UAAAAAGCAGGGUCCUGCUUUGUUUUGUAAGUUGGACUCUCGUAAACCUCAGGGACAUCAUUUUCAUUGUUAUUGGGUGAACCUCCGUGAGUUUUAGUGACUAAAGGUUCAAUAAAUGAUGGUACAUAU